rnacentral:rRNA from 1 species
UACGGGGGGGGCUAGCGUUGUUCGGAAUUACUGGGCGUAAAGGGCGCGUAGGCGGUCUGCUAAGUUGGAUGUGAAAACUCUGGGCUUAACCCAGAGCCUGCAUUCAAUACUGACAGGCUAGAGUUCUGGAGGGGAUAGCGGAAUUCCUGGUGUAGCGGUGAAAUGCGUAGAUAUCAGGAGGAACACCGGUGGCGAAGGCGGCUAUCUGGACAGGGUCUGACGCUGAGGCGCGAAAGCUAGGGGAGCAAACAGG